GAAAACUCCAUCGCCGUCGCCAUCACCGACAAAUGCACCUCCCACUAAGAACGGUGGGUCCCCUCCGACCAGCAAGCUUUGGUUGAUAACUUUGGUUUUAUCGGCAUUUUGUGUUUCUGGCAUUGCAUAUUAGGAACUCGGCAGGACUUGGUUUUCACUUUUGACUUUAAUAUUUUAUUAUGACAUUUAAUUAAUUUCACGCAGUAAUAUCUUAUUUUUAUAAAUAUUUUGUGGGAUAUGUUAAUGGAUAAUUUAAAAUUAUUUAUACUGUUAAAAGUUUAAG
rnacentral:lncRNA from 1 species